AACGAACGCUGGCGGCGUGCCUAACACAUGCAAGUCGUGCGAGAAAGUUCCUUCGGGAGCGAGUAAAGCGGCGCACGGGUGAGUAACACGUAGGUAACCUGCCCCCCAGUCUGGAACAACUAGAGGAAACUCUAGCUAAUGCCGGAUGAGACCACGAUCCCUUCGGGGGUUGCGGCCAAAGAUGGCCUCUACUUGUAAGCUAUCGCUGAGGGAUGGGCCUGCGGGCCAUUAGCUUGUUGGUGAGGUAACGGCUCACCAAGGCUGUGAUGGCUAGCUGGUCUGAGAGGAUGACCAGCCACACUGGGACUGAGACACGGCCCAGACUCCUACGGGAGGCAGCAGUGGGGAAUAUUGCGCAAUGGGCGAAAGCCUGACGCAGCGACGCCGCGUGGGUGAUGAAGGCCUCGGGUCGUAAGACCUGUCGCAGGGAAGGAAGUAAGACAUCGGUAUAA
rnacentral:rRNA from 1 species